UAAUAGGCAACAUCCGCGGGCAGCGGGACGAGUCGUGCCUCGCUCACCUCCGUGCUGGCCGGGCUGCGGCUGCAAGAGGGGAUUUCUGCCACCCAGCACCAUCCAGCCCCUCGCGGGGCCGGGGGUGGCCCCCAAGUGACAGUGGAGCUGAGGUCUCGCUGCUGGCACCAGGUGUCCCCAGGGAUCUCCGUUAAGGGACGCGCUCUGCUGGCUUCCCGUGUCCCCAGCUGGGCACCUGCUGCCACCCUCCCGCCUGGCAGGAGCUGAGCUGGCAGCUCCGCACCUGCCUGCUCCAAUUCCCCUCGUUAUCUCUCCUUCGUUAACGACGCCUUCACUC
rnacentral:lncRNA from 1 species